AAAAUGCGAUACGUAAUGUGAAUUGCAGAUUUCAGUGAAUCAUCCAAUCUUUGAACGCAACUUGCGCUUAAAAUCAACAGUUUUAAGCACACUUGUUUGAGUGUCGGUUUUUAUCAUACUUUUGUAUUUCUGAGUUUCAUCUUUGUAUUAAGACGUUACUUUAAAACUAUUUCUGGUAUUCAUUUUCCAAUUUCAUCUCUUAGUAUAUCUUUGAUAUGAUCAUUGAUUGUGAAUAUACCAUCAAUCCCUCUUAUGAACUCGACCUCAAAUCAAGUGAGAUUACCGGCUGAACUUAA
rnacentral:misc_RNA from 1 species